rnacentral:rRNA from 1 species
AACUUUUAACGGUGGAUCUCUUGGCUCGUGCAUCGAUGAAGAACGCAGCCAGGUGCGAUAAGUAGUGUGAAUUGCAGAAUUCAGUGAAUCAUCGAAUCUUUGAACGCANAUGGCGCUCUUGGGUUUUCC